GACGAACGCUGGCGGCGUGCCUAAUACAUGCAAGUUGAGCGAUGAAGAUUGGUGCUUGCACCAAUUUGAAGAGCAGCGAACGGGUGAGUAACGCGUGGGGAAUCUGCCUUUGAGCGGGGGACAACAUUUGGAAACGAAUGCUAAUACCGCAUAACAACUUUAAACAUAAGUUUUAAGUUUGAAAGAUGCAAUUGCAUCACUCAAAGAUGAUCCCGCGUUGUAUUAGCUAGUUGGUGAGGUAAAGGCUCACCAAGGCGAUGAUACAUAGCCGACCUGAGAGGGUGAUCGGCCACAUUGGGACUGAGACACGGCCCAAACUCCUACGGGAGGCAGCAGUAGGGAAUCUUCGGCAAUGGACGAAAGUCUGACCGAGCAACGCCGCGUGAGUGAAGAAGGUUCUCGGAUCGUAAAACUCUGUUGGUAGAGAAGAACGUUGGUGAGAGUGGAAAGCUCAUCAAGUGACGGUAACUACCCAGAAAGGGACGGCUAACUACGUG
rnacentral:rRNA from 1 species